GGUUGCGAUCAUACCAGCACUAAUGCACCGGAUCCCAUCAGAACUCCGCAGUUAAGCGUGCUUAGGCGAGAGUAGUACUUGGAUGGAUGACCCCUUGGGAAGGCCUCGUGAUGCAACCC
rnacentral:rRNA from 1 species